CGGCGGACGGGUGAGUAACACGUGGGUAACCUGCCUCAGAGUGGGGGAUAGCCUUUCGAAAGGAAGAUUAAUACCGCAUAAGAUUGCACUGUCACAUGGCAGAGCAAGAAAAGGAGAAAUCCGCUUUGAGAUGGACCCGCGGCGCAUUAGCUAGUUGGUGAGGUAACGGCUCACCAAGGCCACGAUGCGUAGCCGACCUGAGAGGGUGAUCGGCCACAUUGGAACUGAGACACGGUCCAGACUCCUACGGGAGGCAGCAGUGGGGAAUAUUGCACAAUGGGCGAAAGCCUGAUGCAGCAACGCCGCGUGAGUGAUGAAGGCCUUCGGGUCGUAAAGCUCUUUGAUCAGGGAUGAUAAUGACAGUACCUGAAAAACAAGCCACGGCUAACUACGUGCCAGCAGCCGCGGUAAUACGUAGGUGGCGAGCGUUGUCCGGAAUUAUUGGGCGUAAAGGAUGCGUAGGUGGAUAUUUAAGUGAGAUGUGAAAUCCCCGGGCUCAACCCGGGAACUGCAUUUCAAAC
rnacentral:rRNA from 1 species